CCGGGUUCUGUUAAAAGAAUCAAAUAUCAUAUGGAAUCAUACAGCAAUAUUCUAGGAUAAGACACUUCAGAAAUAAAGUUCCAACUUAAAAACUUAAUCUCAGCCAGCAGAUACCAGCACUGUCCUUUGAACAGCUUUCUCCUCCCUUCGAGAUGUUUCCCACGUGAGCUACCCUAAAGUUAAAUGCUACUCACUUUUACUCUUUAUUAUGCUAGAGAAAAUAAAAAAUUGAUCUGAAAGUAUCUGCAUCUACUUCCUCCUCUGAGCCUCUACCACUGGAAAUUAGAGAAGCAUUCACUGAGCUUGUAUAUAAUCCUGCAGAAUUAACAAGUUCAUCCUGUAUCUCUGUAUCAAACGAGAGUGAUCGAUCUGAAGUUGUUUGAAUAUCUCUCAUGUUACAGCCACAGCUCCUUCUCUAGCAGCUAUGAAAGCAGACAUGAGGAAAGCCCUCCCCAGCAGGCUUCACACCAUUUCAUUUAAGUGUUAUGAUGGAACGUACAACACAAUUAGCAGAGCUUAGAGACCUCUGGUCAGACCUCCCUGCAGUGUAAAUUUCUGAUGUGCUUUAGGAGAUACAUCCCAAGACUCCCCCACUCCCCUCAUUUGUGUGUACUGCAUGAACAAGCAGUCCUAACAGUGUGGUCAAAGAAUGAAAGCAAGCGUUUGCUACAAAAGGGAGAGUAAGAGAUAAAGGCUGCCAUAUCAGGAUGGCUGCAAUGUGGCCGAAGGACAGAAACAAAGGUACUUACUGCCUCUCUAACACCACUGGCCAUGAACUUCCGCUUGUUGAUUAUCUUUACUGCAACUUUAUUACAAGUGCUCUUCUCAAACGCCAGUUUGACUUCUCCACAGGCACCACUAGCAUGAAAGCACAGCUGUGUUAAUGCUUACAGAUACCUUCCUAACUCGGCCUAAGAAGCUUGCUGAAAUGAACAGGAGGCUCUCGCCUCAUUAAGACUACAUGCAAUCAUGUAGUUUUCCACCUUUCUCAGUAUGACAGAUGGACAAAACUAUCUCAGAAAACAUUCAAUAGUAUUUAAGUACUGAUGGUGUCGGAUCCCAGUUUCGACCAACUACAAACACAUAAAUGUUCUUGCAUGUAAAGAAAAUAGAAAGAUAGAAGGAAAAAAAAGAUACUUUCAAAUCUUGAGCAAUUAAUUCAGAAAUCACAACCUAUGGCUUUUAAGCAUCUCACAUCUCUGAUAACUCUUGAUUCUGGGAUACUCUAAGUGAUAGAUAAUGAUAAAAAGCAUUAACUGAUCACUGAAGACAUACAAUAUAAUUUUGGUGAGGUUCACUAAAAUUACAAACUCAACUCCUUUCUUGAUACUCUGGUCUUAAUAAACACAGUGUGCCACAA